GUGGGGAAUAUUGUACAAUGGGCGAAAGCCUGAUCCAGCCAUGCCGCGUGUGUGAAGAAGGUCUUCGGAUUGUAAAGCACUUUAAGUUGGGAGGAAGGGCAGUAAGCUAAUACCUUGCUGUUUUGACGUUACCGACAGAAUAAGCACCGGCUAACUUCGUGCCAGCAGCCGCGGUAAUACGAAGGGUGCAAGCGUUAAUCGGAAUUACUUGGCGUAAAGCGCGCGUAGGUGGUUCAGCAAGUUGGAGGUGAAAUCCCCGGGCUCAACCUGGGAACUGCCUCCAAAAUUACUGAGCUAGAGUACGGUAGAGGGUAGUGGAAUUUCCUGUGUAGCGGUGAAAUGCUUAGAUAUAGGAAGGAACACCAGUGGCGAAGGCGACUACCUGGACUGAUACUGACACUGAGGUGCGAAAGCGUGGGGAGCAAACAGGAUUAGAAACCCCUGUAGUCC
rnacentral:rRNA from 1 species